AUGGGACAUCAUAUCCUGACCUUGGUACACAGAAGAACUGGCUUCCUUGACAGGCUCUACGCCACAUACAAUCUAUACAUAUCAAUAUGGAAACAAGUGUGGAAUCACAGUCAGAGGAAGUCAAUCAACUGCAAUAAAGGCAGGACCCCAAGACUAUAUUCCUGCCCCUGGGUCACAAGAAGUACCCCCAUCGGCUGUACAGAUCUGAUUGCAGAAGUAGGACCAGAACGCUGAAAGUUUUCUCAGAGUCA
rnacentral:lncRNA from 1 species